UACGUAGGGUGCAAGCGUUGUCCGGAAUUAUUGGGCGUAAAGAGCUCGUAGGCGGUUUGUUGCGUCGGCUGUGAAAUCCCGAGGCUCAACCUCGGGUCUGCAGUCGAUACGAGCAAACUAGAGUGUUGCAGGGGAGACUGGAAUUCCUGGUGUAGCGGUGAAAUGCGCAGAUAUCAGGAGGAACACCGGUGGCGAAGGCGGGUCUCUGGGCAUUAACUGACGCUGAGGAGCGAAAGCGUGGGUAGCAAACAGG
rnacentral:rRNA from 1 species